rnacentral:rRNA from 1 species
AGCGAACGCUGGCGGUAGGCUUAACACAUGCAAGUCGAACGGCAGCACAGUAAUAGCUUGCUCUUACGGGUGGAGCGUGGCGGAAGGGUGAGGCAUAUACCGGAAUCUACCGUUACGUGGGGGAUAACGUAGGGAAACUUACGCUAAUACAGCAUAUGACCUACGGGUGAAAGCAGGGGAUCUUCGGACCUUGUGCGAUUGAAUGAGCCGAUGUCGGAUUAGCUAGGUUGCGGGGUAGAGGCCAAACACGGCGACGCUCGGUAGCUGGUCUGAGAGGAUGAUCAGCCACACUGGAAGUGAGACACGGUCCAGACUCCUACGGUAGGCAGCAGUGGGGAAUAUUGCGCGAGGGGCGCGAGCCUGAUCCAGCCAUACCGCGUGGAUGAAGAAGGCCUUCUGGUGGGAGAGCCCUUAUGUUGGUAAAGAAAAGCAGCAGGUUAAGACCCCGCUGUACUGACGGUACCCAAAGAAUAAGCACCGGCUAACUUCGUG